AUCGCACAGGUCUGGCGCCACUUUUCCUCUCGCGCUUCCCUAUUACGCUAGUGUCGUCUGGUGGGGAACGGCGACAACUCUAUUUCUGUCAACACCAUUCUGCAUGCAAAAGGACUUAUGUAGUGCUCAUGUAAUCUCAAUUGUUAUUUUAUUAUUAAUCUAUGCAUUUUAAAGGUACUACAUCUUCUAAAUCCCUAAAAACUCAGUGAAGAUGAGACUAAGGUUACAAGAAUUACACCAUUCCCCCCUAAGUCUCAGGAAUACAUAGACAUUUGCAGCAGUGUGUACGUGGAAAGAUUAUUAUACCCCAUGCUUCAAUUGAAUGGAUUACCAGCAUAUUUUCUGAAUAUAUGGAGUGGUAGCAUAGCAUAUACUAAAUUCGAAGAUGCAACACGAAGAAGAAGCUGUGCAUUUGUGGAAUUUUGUGAUUCCGAGUCAGCUGCCAAAGCUGUCACAGAAUAUGCAGCCUCCAGCGAGUAUCAUGUAUUGACUGAAGAUCCAGGGCAGUCAUGUAGUAUUCAGGUGUUUGAUGCAGAGAGCCAAGACGAAAAGGGGGACAAGAAGAAAACGAGCACAAAACUAGACACGCGGAGGAAGCAGAUCAUUUCCAAGUUCCGUGUGUUGAAUGCUCAAGAAACAUUUUAAAUAUUAUUUGAGAAAUACAAAUUUUUAAACACGCA
rnacentral:lncRNA from 1 species